rnacentral:rRNA from 1 species
GGAUGCGAUCAUACCAGCACUAAAGCACCGGAUCCCAUCAGAACUCCGAAGUUAAGCGUGCUUGGGCGAGAGUGAUGGGUGACCUCCUGGGAAGUCCUGGUGUUGCAUUCC